ACCCCACCGUAAUCUUGUUAUGCAAAUAGGCUUUCCACUUGGCCGUCGCCGUCUUGUCCACUCGUUUCUGUGCACAUGGCUGGCAAAAAGAGAAGAUGGAGCUGCCAUUUAGAACAUGCCUAAUCCCAGCUUCAUCUUGCUGAGCAAAAAUGAAGGAGCCUGGACCCAACUUUGUUACUGUGAGUAAGGGUCUUCAUUCAUUCAAGAUGGCAUUUGUUAAGCGCCUACUACAAACCUUGGAAAUCAAGAAAGUUCUGGAAUGAUGAAGCUGUUCAUGCCAAGACCGAAAGUGCUGGCCCAGUAUGAGUCCAUUCAGUUCAUGCUGUGACAAUUUUCUUGGAACUCCUUUUUAUUGUUAGUUCUCAUUUGUUUCCAUAUUUAGUGAACGUACAUUUAAUUGCAAAGCUGUCAUUAAUAAAAAUUCUUAUAGUAUCUCA
rnacentral:sRNA from 1 species